rnacentral:rRNA from 1 species
CCUACGGGCGGCAGCAGUGAGGAAUCUUGGUCAAUGGGCGCAAGCCUGAACCAGCCAAGUAGCGUGAGUGAUGACUGCCCUACGGGUUGUAAACUUCUUUUAUAAAGGAAUAAAGUGGGGCACGUGUGCCUUUUUGUAUGUACUUUAUGAAUAAGGAUCGGCUAACUCCGUGCCAGCAGCCGCGGUAAUACGGAGGAUCCGAGCGUUAUCCGGAUUUAUUGGGUUUAAAGGGAGCGGAGAUGGGUUGUUAAGUCAGUUGUGAAAGUUUGCGGCUCAACCGUAAAAUUGCAAUUGAUACUGGAAGCCUUGAGUACAGUUGAGGUAGGUGGAAUUCGUGGUGUAGCGGUGAAAUGCUUAGAUAUAACGAAGAACUCCGAUGGCGAAGGCAGCUUACUAAACUGCCACUGACAUUGAUGCUCGAAAGUGUGGGUAUCAAACAGGAUUAGAUACCCGAGUAGUC